UCUCUCCUACGGGAGGCAGCAGUAGGGAAUCUUCCACAAUGGGCGAAAGCCUGAUGGAGCAACGCCGCGUGGGUGAAGAAGGUCUUCGGAUCGUAAAACCCUGUUGUUAGAGAAGAAAGUGCGUGAGAGUAACUGUUCACGUUUCGACGGUAUCUAACCCGAAAGCCACGGCUAACUACGUGCCAGCAGCCGCGGUAAUACGUAGGUGGCAAGCGUUAUCCGGAUUUACUGGGUGUAAAGGGAGCGUAGACGGCGAUACAAGUCUGAAGUGAA
rnacentral:rRNA from 1 species